rnacentral:lncRNA from 1 species
UGGAAGUGAAACCAGAGCAUGAAUUUAUUGGACUUCCCGUGAUUCCUAUUCAAUUUGAGGAGUUAUUUAAGUUAUACAAUCGACUGUCCCUGGACAAACAACUCAUUACUUCCUCUGUCUGUACGUCUCUAGGUCAGUUCAAUCAUUGCAUGUAUAUCUAAUUAUCCUCACUAUAUGUAUUAUGCAGAUGGAAGAUCGUCGAAUUAAAAAAA